UCACAUCUUAGAUUACAAAUUACCAACUUUGUAUAACAAGAUCCUCUCCACUGAUAUGAUUUCCUAUCAGUGUAAGUAUUUGCUUGUUGUUUAGAUGAUUUCACGUGCAUGGUAUAGAUCUUGAUAUAAGUUAACAACUUGUAUAAUCAUGUUGAUAUAAUUCAAUUUCAUCCUUUCACUUUUUGGGAUAUAAAUUAAUAUAGUUAUUAUUUGUAAUUUUCUUAAGUCUCUUUCGGAAUUAAAUAAUUUUUGAACAAUUCUUAUUAUGAUGCUAAUAAUUAAGAUUUUGCUUUCAGAUUUUGGAUACACAUAUAUUGAUCUUGAUGUCCAUGAACGUUGUUUUUGGAUCUAUAUCUCAAAUAAUGAAGAAAAUGCUCCAAGUUCAAACUAUAACUUCUCUGGUAAGUGAAGAUCUUUAAUAAUAUUUAAUUCUUGUUUCGGUGC
rnacentral:lncRNA from 1 species